rnacentral:sRNA from 1 species
UAAUGAGUGGGGAUAAACGCAAAUUAAU